GGAUGCAUGUGAAGUCAACUUUACAGGCCCUCGUCUGCCGAUAUUAUGAUCACGGGAGCCAUUUAUUCACGUCCCGCCAGACGGCUUUGGUCCUUUCCGACCGCGGGGAAUGUCCCUCUGUAGAGAAAGCCAGUAGAUUAUACCUGUGUAACAGAGAAACUUCCGGUGAAUGUAUUCUUUGGAUACCCCAGUGUCACAGAUACAGCAUAAAUAAGGCCGUAACAGACACAUGAUGAGACCUUGACUUGCUAAAUUAGCCGGGAAGUAACGCAUUCUCAAGUAGAAUUCGACCACUUAUUUCCAUAAUCGAUGGUGUCAUUGAGUGCUCCCCUUCGCUCUUUCUCUACGGCUACAGAAAACGGGCACAGGGCACAGACCCACGACUUCGGGCUAAUUCACUACACUGGCCGAGAAGUGACGCAUUCCCGUUUAGAUUUCGAACGCACCUGUCAUCUCUGAGAAGAUCAAGGGCCCAGAUCCCUGUAAUUUCGGUGUCAAUUCCGCGAUUUUCCGCUAGGAGGUUACCUAUGGUGAGGUGUGAAGUUUCCACGCUUGUGAGAUUGAAUAUUGUGCACUGCUGAUCGGCUCGACUUCCCAGAGUGAAUUUGGAGGUUUUCAGAAUGUCUGGAUUACUUGACACUCUUCGCAUUCAGGGAGACAUGGAUUAUCUAUUUCAGACCAAAAUGACGUCCCCAAUCACGGACCUACUCAACGAUAUCUGGACCUCGUCCGCACUCAUCGCCAGACAGACAAGACACCCUAACUCCUCCACCACAUGCCUUGCAUCGGCCACGGUGAUCUUAUACCCUACCACACCCGGCGCCAUCCUUCUCUCAACCAACAGCAACACCAACGCCAGCAGUAGCAUCAUCGUCCCAAGACACCAUCCCGAUGUCCUGUCGAUAUUUGGUUCGGACCAUCAGUGAAGGCUCCAGGAAGAAAGCCAUGAGUUUCAGUAGAUCUUUAUGGGACUCGAACCAGUCAGUGGAAUCGGCG